GCUGGGCGUGGUAGCACACGCCUAUAAUCCCAGUGGCUUGGGAGGCAGAGGCAGGAGGAUCAAGAGUUCAAAGCCAGUCUCAGCAAUUUAGUGGGGCACUAAGCAACUCAGUGAGACCCUGUCUCUA
rnacentral:sRNA from 1 species